GUGGGCGUGGCCUAAUUGGUCAAGGCUCCUGACUGUGACUCAGGCAAUUGUGGGUUCAAGUCCCACCGUCCACCCCA
rnacentral:tRNA from 1 species